UGUUGUUUGGUCUGGGUAAGGUCUUGUAAACUAAAUUUAUGUGGUGAUAAGUGAGUCGUAAAGCUUUAUAACUGUUUGGUUGUUUAGAAUUUAGUGGGAUGUAGGUGGCUAUUAGGUCAUUUAUAUUUUUAUACAUUUGGUGAUGUGUGGUUUUUGAUAAGGUUAGAGGUACCUAGUUUUUGUUAUAUUGUUGUAAAUAUGGUUUUGUUGGUUUAUUGGUAUGUUAAUUGUUUGAACAACUGUUUUGCUAUAUUUGGUUAUUAUAUUAUCGUUGAAUAAGUAAUUUUAUUAUGCUAUUUAUUUCUUGAGUUCUUUCCGUCUGUUUAUUAAAAACAUUUCUAAUUUUAAUUGUGGUUAGUAGUGCCUGCCCAAUGUUGGUUAAUUAAUGGCCGCAGUAUAUUGACUGUGCAAAGGUAGCAUAAUUAAUUGCCUUUUAAUUGGAGGCUUGUUUGAAUGGUUUGACGUGAUUGGUAUGAAUAUUUGGUAUUUAGUUGAAAUUGAUUUUGAGGGUUUAGAAUCCUUAAUGUUUAAUAAGACGGAAAGACCCUAGGAUCUUUUGUUUUUGUUUGGGGCAAAUAUUGUUGUUUUAUGAAUAUUGUGACCCUGAGAUGAUAUUGGUUUAUUGGGUUAAG
rnacentral:rRNA from 1 species